rnacentral:rRNA from 2 species
AGAGUUUGAUCCUGGCUCAGGACGAACGCUGGCGGCGUGCCUAAUACAUGCAAGUCGAGCGAAUCGAUGGGAGCUUGCUCCCUGAGAUUAGCGGCGGACGGGUGAGUAACACGUGGGCAACCUGCCUAUAAGACUGGGAUAACUUCGGGAAACCGGAGCUAAUACCGGAUACGUUCUUUUCUCGCAUGAGAGAAGAUGGAAAGACGGUUUCGGCUGUCACUUAUAGAUGGGCCCGCGGCGCAUUAGCUAGUUGGUGAGGUAAUGGCUCACCAAGGCGACGAUGCGUAGCCGACCUGAGAGGGUGAUCGGCCACACUGGGACUGAGACACGGCCCAGACUCCUACGGGAGGCAGCAGUAGGGAAUCUUCCGCAAUGGACGAAAGUCUGACGGAGCAACGCCGCGUGAACGAAGAAGGCCUUCGGGUCGUAAAGUUCUGUUGUUAGGGAAGAACAAGUACCAGAGUAACUGCUGGUACCUUGACGGUACCUAACCAGAAAGCCACGGCUAACUACGUGCCAGCAGCCGCGGUAAUACGUAGGUGGCAAGCGUUGUCCGGAAUUAUUGGGCGUAAAGCGCGCGCAGGUGGUUCUUUAAGUCUGAUGUGAAAGCCCACGGCUCAACCGUGGAGGGUCAUUGGAAACUGGGGAACUUGAGUGCAGAAGAGGAAAGUGGAAUUCCAAGUGUAGCGGUGAAAUGCGUAGAGAUUUGGAGGAACACCAGUGGCGAAGGCGACUUUCUGGUCUGUAACUGACACUGAGGCGCGAAAGCGUGGGGAGCAAACAGGAUUAGAUACCCUGGUAGUCCACGCCGUAAACGAUGAGUGCUAAGUGUUAGAGGGUUUCCGCCCUUUAGUGCUGCAGCUAACGCAUUAAGCACUCCGCCUGGGGAGUACGGCCGCAAGGCUGAAACUCAAAGGAAUUGACGGGGGCCCGCACAAGCGGUGGAGCAUGUGGUUCUAAUUCGAAGCAACGCGAAGAACCUUACCAGGUCUUGACAUCCUCUGACAACCCUAGAGAUAGGGCUUUCCCCUUCGGGGGACAGAGUGACAGGUGGUGCAUGGUUGUCGUCAGCUCGUGUCGUGAGAUGUUGGGUUAAGUCCCGCAACGAGCGCAACCCUUGAUCUUAGUUGCCAGCAUUCAGUUGGGCACUCUAAGGUGACUGCCGGUGACAAACCGGAGGAAGGUGGGGAUGACGUCAAAUCAUCAUGCCCCUUAUGACCUGGGCUACACACGUGCUACAAUGGAUGGUACAAAGGGCUGCAAACCUGCGAAGGUAAGCGAAUCCCAUAAAGCCAUUCUCAGUUCGGAUUGUAGGCUGCAACUCGCCUACAUGAAGCCGGAAUCGCUAGUAAUCGCGGAUCAGCAUGCCGCGGUGAAUACGUUCCCGGGCCUUGUACACACCGCCCGUCACACCACGAGAGUUUGUAACACCCGAAGUCGGUGAGGUAACCUUUAUGGAGCCAGCCGCCUAAGGUGGGACAGAUGAUUGGGGUGAAGUCGUAACAAGGUAACC